UCUACCAUUACUGUUUGUGGGUAAAUAUUGUUUUUUUUUCUUCCAUUAAACACGGAAAUUAUUUCAUUUCAUUUGAAUCCCACUUUUGUCCUUUUCUUCCGCCAACAUAAAUAGUAAUAUAUCCGAUCCCUCCAAUACACAUAUCAAAACUCACCUUCUCCGCCGGAGCAAACUCUCCCGUAGAAUAAAAAAUGGCGGCAGCGGCGGCAAAUUUCAACAGCCAUCAUAACCGAACAACGUAAAGGGCAAACUAGGGGAAAAGAUCAAUAAAAGCAUCAUCAGCUCGUAACGGAGAUGCCGUCGAUGCCGUCGUGGUCGAUAUGGGCGGUGGUGAUGACGGCGCUAACGGCGUCGAUACUAGUGCUGCCGUUAGUUUUGCCGGAGACGUUACCUCCGCCGCCGUUUAUGUUCCUUCUGCUUCCGUUACUCAUCAUGUCUCUUCUCCUCUUCAUCGCCUUCUGCCCCAAGACGACGCCGUUGCCUGUAGCGCAGUAUGGCUUCGUCAAGUAAAAAAGUUAGUCAACUUUAAUAAUCUUUUACGUACGUAAUUUUAAACGUUAAUUUAUUAUUUGAUUUUUGUUCUUUAUUUACUGUGUAAUAUGAUAAUCAAUCUGGCUUGUUUUUUUUGUAUUUUUAUUUUAUUUAGCCAAUGGCUAUCUGUAAAAUGCAUGGUUUGACUGUAUUAUUAUUUCAUACUUGGACAAGUACGAGUUUGAGUUCACACCCAAUCUUAUAAUCAGUAUUUUAAGAGUGUAAUUGAAUUUGAAUCCGGUUGAAUUUUAAAGCCUUAUCGUUAGUUUUAAGGCAAGAACUAUUUUUUUAGGGUAAUUACGUUUAAAUAGUCAAAUAGAAAAUGUAAGUCUGUUGAUAAUUUAUAUAUAAAUUAAGGAAAAUAUUUUGAUGGAAAUAUGGACCUGGUACAAAUAUUAUGUGACGAAAUAUCAUUGGCUAAUUUUUAUUUUUUUAAAAUAAUGUUAUAUUAACAUCCAAAUAUGUAAAAAAUGCAACUAGAUCACCCAAUUUUAUAUUUAAUUUAACUUCUAGAUCGGAUUCCUCUCAUACUUUAAGUUAAAAUAUACAUAAAAACCCGUCCAUUGCGCUAUUUUUAGUUGAAAUAAGUUUUUCUUCAAGAUUAAAUACGCCACCGAUGAUUUUUUUCCUAACCAAGUAAUAGUAAAUGCGAGUACUUAGACGAAAUUGUGAUUAAUAUGUAUCAAGUACUGAGCCGAAACAACAUAACCCUAACACCGAUGAUUUUUCUCAACAAGCUCCGAGCCGUAGCAUCUUCACGGAGCUCUACAUCGGAUGAAUCCCUCAAAACACCUUGGAAAGGACGACUUUAGAGUGAUUGAAGCCUCAUCCUUACGCGCUCGUAUUCCACGCGUAACAAACACAUCUCUUAUGACUAGCCAUGGAGUUAUUAUCAUCAACUCACGUGGACAAGUUUGUGAUGGCAAGGCAGGGACUCUCCUGUGUUCAUCACCCAUUGUAGUGGAAGCAAAAACAUGUCUUUCUGCAUGCCAGCUAGCAACCAAAUAGCUACACACAUUUACACACUUCGUAAUGAAUUAAGUUUGUAAUUUUCCAAUGAUGAAUAUAAUCAAUCCUUCUUUGAGAAAAAAAAUACAAUUUAUCGGUUCAAUGAAGCCCUUCCUUAGGUCAUCUGUGUGGCCAGCAUUGCUACCUAUUUGUAUUCGGACGCUUAUUCGGCUUAUUAUUAUAAUAUUAUGUUGGUAGUGGGACGUAGUAAUUAAUAUCUUAAAUUAGGAAAAUCGUAAUUAACACAUCACUAAUGAUAGCUUUAAAAGUAGUUAACGUGGAGCGGUCAAUAUUUAUUUAGUUUUUAAAAUGGAUAGAGCCCCUCGUUCAUUGAAUCAAGUCCAGACAUCGCUAAAGCAACACUAAAAAAAUCCUAUCAAAAGUGAAUAAACAAAAGACCAAUUUGUGUGUUGAUUUAGC
rnacentral:lncRNA from 1 species